UACGUAGGGACCAAGCGUUGUUCGGAUUUACUGGGCGUAAAGGGCGCGUAGGCGGCGUGACAAGUCACUUGUGAAAUCUCCGGGCUUAACUCGGAACGGUCAAGUGAUACUGUCGUGCUAGAAUGCAGAAGGGGCAAUCGGAAUUCUUGGUGUAGCGGUGAAAUGCGUAGAUAUCAAGAGGAACACCUGAGGUGAAGACGGGUUGCUGGGCUGACACUGACGCUGAGGCGCGAAAGCUAGGGGAGCAAACGGG
rnacentral:rRNA from 1 species